rnacentral:rRNA from 1 species
AGUGAACGCUGGCGGUAGGCCUAACACAUGCAAGUCGAACGGCAGCACAGUAAGAGCUUGCUCUUACGGGUGGCGAGUGGCGGACGGGUGAGGAAUACAUCGGAAUCUACUUUUUCGUGGGGGAUAACGUAGGGAAACUUACGCUAAUACCGCAUACGACCUACGGGUGAAAGCAGGUGCUCUUCGGACCUUGCGCGAUUGAAUGAGCCGAUGUCGGAUUAGCUAGUUGGCGGGGUAAAGGCCCACCAAGGCGACGAUCCGUAGCUGGUCUGAGAGGAUGAUCAGCCACACUGGAACUGAGACACGGUCCAGACUCCUACGGGAGGCAGCAGUGGGGAAUAUUGGACAAUGGGCGCAAGCCUGAUCCAGCCAUACCGCGUGGGUGAAGAAGGCCUUCGGGUUGUAAAGCCCUUUUGUUGGGAAAGAAAAGCAGCAGGUUAAUACCCCGCUGUUCUGACGGUACCCAAAGAAUAAGCACCGGCUAACUUCGUG